GACGUAGGGCGCGAGCGUUGUCCGGAUUUAUUGGGCGUAAAGGGCGCGUAGGCGGCUUGUCGCGUCGACUGUGAAAUCCCGCGGCUCAACUGCGGGUCUGCAGUCGAUACGGGCAGGCUAGAGUUCGGUAGGGGAGACUGGAAUUCCUGGUGUAGCGGUGAAAUGACGCAGAUAUCAGGAGGAACACCGGUGGCGAAGGCGGGUCUCUGGGACGUUACUGACGCUGGAGACGCGAAAGCGUGGGGAGCAAACAGG
rnacentral:rRNA from 1 species